rnacentral:rRNA from 1 species
GAGUUCAAGAGUACGUGAAACCGUUCAGGAGUAAACCUGAGAAACCCGAAAGGUCGAACGGGGAGAUUCAGACGCGUCUCGGAAGAUCGCGGCGAGUCGGUGACGAGUGACAGUCGAUGUUAGCGUUGACCGCUCCGUUUCCGUUCCGUCCGCGGCCGAACGCGUGCACUUCUCCCCCUGUAGGACGUCGCGACCCGUUGGGCGCCGGACUAAGGCCCGCGGUGGAGCCCGCACGAGCACUAGCUCGUUCGGACCCGCGGUGUCCCGUCCGGAGACCUACCGACGGUACGAUUGUGGCGCGGGGCCGCGAUUCGUUCGCGUCCGGCCGGCCGCAAGUGCGGACGGAGGAUCCGAAAUCCGGACCUGGUGCCGGAUCCGGACCCGUCCGACUGCUGGCGGUCGUGUCCUCGGACAGACCCCGAACACGCCCGUCGGCGGCGCUUUAGCUUUGGGUACUUUCAGGACCCGUCUUGAAACACGGACCAAGGAGUCUAGCAUGUGCGCGAGUCAUUGGGACUCUAGCGAAACCUAAAGGCGUAAUGAAAGUGAAGGUCCGCCGAGCGCGGACAGAGGGAGGAUGGGCGGUCUCGAGUGACCGCCCCGCACUCCCGGGGCGUCUCGUUCUCAUCGCGAGAAGAGGCGCACCAAGAGCGUACACGCUGGGACCCGAAAGAUGGUGAACUAUGCCUGGUCAGGACGAAGUCAGGGGAAACCCUGAUGGAGGUCCGUAGCGAUUCUGACGUGCAAAUCGAUCGUCGGAACUGGGUAUAGGGGCGAAAGACUAAUCGAACCAUCUAGUAGCUGGUUC